GGGGGAGUUAGAAUUGAGGUUUUCGAAUAUGGGCUUUGCCCUCCUUCUUUGUGCGCGUUUCUCUCUCCCCGCUCAAACGCCGUGGCGGCUUCGUUCAAGGGAAGCACCUUUAUGUUAACCACGCUAGCCUUGAUUAAUAAUGACACAACACCGUGAAUUGCCGCUGACAUUUAUGGUAAUUUAUACUUGCGUCAUGGUAAUAGUACCUUAUUAACUUGGUGAAGUGAAGUAGGGCUGAGGGAGCAAGUGAGGCGGGGCAGAAAGGCUGUUGUUUCAGUCAGGAAAGUCGGUUAGUUCCCUGAAGGUUGGGAGCGAGAGACAAGAGGAGGCCCGGCUGAGUUUCAGAAGACAGACAGCCACGUCUGCUUUGUCCUCUUUCCUGCCUCCGUUUCCAAACUUCUUUCACCACCAGAAAACAACUCCGCACUUCUGAGAACUGCUCCUCAACAUUUCUCUCGGCGUCUGCAAUGGCGCCCCUAAAGGUUUCGCGCUGCUAAGCCACAGGUUCAGCUUGGGACCUUCUCUUGCCCUAUAUGGCUUCGAAAGUCAGCCCCGAAGGGAAACUCCCCCGGGGAAGGACUUCUUGACUCGCAGCUGCAGUAGCAGAAGCCGCUGCUGGGUGCACUUAAUCUCUAUCUCAAUUCUGGGCAUGCCUACCUUACAACGCUCUUAGAGGCUGCUGCACAUCAACUUACAGCAUUUGAAAAGGAGAUCGUGAGUUACUCAGGAGUGGUUGGCAGGAGCUGGGACGAACAACAGGAGCUUACCCCGCCACGGGACCUCGAACCACCGACCUUCCAAGCGGCAAGUCCAAGCUGCACAGUGGUUUAAACCACAGCACCACCCGCGUCCCAUUAGAUAAACCCUAAUGCGUUGGAGAGGUUGUGGUAUGGUUGGUACAUACUUCCAUAUGUGAUAGAUUGUCCCCAGGUACAAGUGUUUUGGGAGUUGUUAUGCCAAUAGAUUUGUGCGAUUACUGGUCAAUGGAUACAUCCAUCUCCAGCAUUCAUGAUGUUCAAUAUGUUUGUGGAUAGAAAUUUAGAUGGUAAUCAUAAAGAAUUGUUGAGUCAUUUACUCUUGACUGCAGAAGCAGUUGUAGCUCAGAAUUGGAAGACACAUCGCAAUGUAAAUAUUGACCAGUGGUGCAGCCUGUUAUGUUAUGUUAACUUACCUUUCACAUCUGUUUUGUUUUGCUUUAUCUUAAAUUUGUAUUUUCAAAAGCUUUAUCCCACUUGUAAAUGUCUAAAAGAAAAAUAAAGGCAUAUCUCACAUGAA